rnacentral:rRNA from 1 species
ACACAUGCAGUCGAGGGGCAGACGAUCCCGAGUAAUCGGGAUUGGUGGCGACCGGCGCACGGGUGAGUAACGCGUAUGCAACCUUCCUUUUACAGGAGGAUAGCUUCCGGAAACGGAAAUAAUACUCCAUACAAUUACGAAGUGGCAUCACUUUCAGAUUAAAGCUGAGGCGGUAAAAGAUGGGCAUGCGUAACAUUAGCUUGUUGGUAAGGUAAGGGCUCACCAAGGCGACGAUGUUUAGGGGUCCUGAGAGGGUAUCCCCCACACUGGUACUGAGACACGGACCAGACUCCUACGGGAGGCAGCAGUGAGGAAUAUUGGUCAAUGGGCGCAAGCCUGAACCAGCCAUCCCGCGUGCAGGAAGACGGCCCUAUGGGUUGUAAACUGCUUUUCUGAGGGAAGAAUAAUCCCGAGUUACUCGGGAGACGGCGGUACCUCAGGAAUAAGCAUCGGCUAACUCCGUGCCAGCAGCCGCGGUAAUACGGAGGAUGCAAGCGUUAUCCGGAUUCAUUGGGUUUAAAGGGUGCGUAGGCGGACUGGUAAGUCAGUGGUGAAAUCCUGCAGCUUAACUGUGGAAUUGCCAUUGAAACUGUCAGUCUUGAGUCAGGUUGAGGUAGGCGGAAUGUGUAAUGUAGCGGUGAAAUGCAUAGAUAUUACACAGAACACCGAUUGCGUAGGCAGCUUACUGGACCUGCACUGACGCUGAGGCACGAAAGCGUGGGGAUCAAACAGGAUUAGAUACCCUGGUAGUACACGCCGUAAACUAUGAUUACUCGUUGUUGGCAAUACAUCGUCAGCGACCAAGCGAAAGCGAUAAGUAAUCCACCUGGGGAGUACGCUCGCAAGAGUGAAACUCAAAGGAAUUGACGGGGGCCCGCACAAGCGGUGGAACAUGUGGUUUAAUUCGAUGAUACGCGAGGAACCUUACCUGGGCUUAAAUGUAGACUGCAUAGCGUGGAAACAUGCUUUUCUUUUAGACUGUUUACAAGGUGCUGCAUGGUUGUCGUCAGCUCGUGCCGUGAGGUGUCGGGUUAAGUCCCAUAACGAGCGCAACCCUUAUCGUUAGUUGCCAUCGGGUAAAGCCGGGGACUCUAGCGAAACUGCCACCGUAAGGUGAGAGGAAGGUGGGGAUGACGUCAAGUCAUCAUGGCCCUUAUGUCCUGGGCUACACACGUGCUACAAUGGCCGGUACAGAGUGACGCGAAAACCGCGAGGUGGAGCAAAUCGCAGAAAGCCGGUCUCAGUACAGAUUGGAGUCUGAAACCCGACUUCAUGAAGGUGGAAUCGCUAGUAAUCGCGCAUCAGCAUGGCGCGCCGAAUACGUUCCCGGGCCUUGUACACACCGCCCGUCACACCACCCGAGUUGGGGGUACC